AGCAUGUGGUUUAAUUCGAUGAUACGCGAGGAACCUUACCUGGGCUCAAAUGUAUGUUGACGUAUUCUGAAAGGGAUACUUCUUCGGACAAUAUACAAGGUGCUGCAUGGUUGUCGUCAGCUCGUGCCGUGAGGUGUCGGGUUAAGUCCCAUAACGAGCGCAACCCUUGUCCUUAGUUACCAGCACGUUAUGGUGGGCACUCUAAGGAGACUGCCGGUGACAAACCGGAGGAAGGUGGGGAUGACGUCAAGUCAUCAUGGCCCUUACGGCCUGGGCUACACACGUGCUACAAUGGUCGGUACAAAGGGUUGCCAAGCCGCGAGGUGGAGCUAAUCCCAUAAAACCGAUCGUAGUCCGGAUCGCAGUCUGCAACUCGACUGCGUGAAGUCGGAAUCGCUAGUAAUCGUGAAUCAGAAUGUCACGGUGAAUACGUUCCCGGGCCUC
rnacentral:rRNA from 1 species